UACGUAGGGCGCAAGCGUUAUCCGGAAUUAUUGGGCGUAAAGAGCUCGUAGGCGGUUUGUCGCGUCUGCUGUGAAAACCCGAGGCUCAACCUCGGGCCUGCAGUGGGUACGGGCAGACUAGAGUGUGGUAGGGGAGACUGGAAUUCCUGGUGUAGCGGUGGAAUGCGCAGAUAUCAGGAGGAACACCAAUGGCGAAGGCAGGUCUCUGGGCCGAUACUGACGCUGGAGGAGCGAAAGCGUGGGGAGCGAACAGG
rnacentral:rRNA from 1 species